rnacentral:rRNA from 11 species
UAAUAGGGAACGUGAGCUGGGGUUAGACCGUCGUGAGACAGGUUAGUUUUACCCUACUGAUGAGUUGUUGUCGCGAUAGUAAUUCAAUGCAGUACGAGAGGAACUGUUGAUUCAGAUAAUUGGUAUUUGCUCCCGGCUGAAAAGCCGAUGGUGCGAGGCUACCAUCUGCUGGAUUAUGGCUGAACGCCUCUAAGCCAGAAUCCAUGCUAGAAGCGACGAUUUUUUUGCCUU